rnacentral:rRNA from 1 species
UCGACCUACGGGGGGCAGCAGUGGGGAACAUUGCACAAUGGGGGAAACCCUGAUGCAGCAACGCCGCGUGAGUGAAGAAGGUUUUCGGAUUGUAAAGCUCUGUUAGCAGGGAAGAAGAAAGACGGUACCUGACUAAGAAGCCCCGGCUAACUACGUGCCAGCAGCCGCGGUAAUACGUAGGGGGCAAGCGUUAUCCGGAUUUACUGGGUGUAAAGGGAGCGUAGACGGCUGUGCAAGUCUGAAGUGAAAGCCCAGGGCUCAACCCUGGGACUGCUUUGGAAACUGUGGAGCUAGAGUGCUGGAGG